rnacentral:rRNA from 1 species
AGGGCAAGUCUGGUGCCAGCAGCCGCGGUAAUUCCAGCUCCAAUAGCGUAUAUUAAAGUUGUUGCAGUUAAAAAGCUCGUAGUUGAAUUUCGGGAUCAAUCUAUCGGUCGUGCAAUAGUACGUACUGAUUUUAUUGAUUCCUCCCUUCUGAUGAACUAUGAUGUCAUUAAUUUGGUGUCAUAGGGAAUCAGGACUGUUACUUUGAAAAAAUUAGAGUGUUUAAAGCAGGCCCACGCUUGAAUACAUUAGCAUGGAAUAACGAAAUAGGACGUUUGAUUCUAUUUUGUUGGUUUCUAGGAUCGACGUAAUGAUUAAUAGGGAUAGUUGGGGGCAUUAGUAUUCAAUUGUCAGAGGUGAAAUUCUUGGAUUUAUUGAAGACUAACUACUGCGAAAGCAUUUGCCAAGGAUGUUUUCAUUAAUCAAGAACGAAAGUUAGGGGAUCGAAGACGAUCAGAUACCGUCGUAGUCUUAACCAUAAACUAUGCCGACUAGGGAUCGGAUGAUGUUAAUUUUUUAAUGACUCAUUCGGCGCCUUACGGGAA